GGCCCUGCUUUUGUGGGGUGCUCGAGUGGCGAACGGGUGAGUAACACGUGAGUAACCUGCCCUUGACUUUGGGAUAACUUCAGGAAACUGGGGCUAAUACCGGAUAGGAGCUCCUGCUGCAUGGUGGGGGUUGGAAAGUUUCGGCGGUUGGGGAUGGACUCGCGGCUUAUCAGCUUGUUGGUGGGGUAGUGGCUUACCAAGGCUUUGACGGGUAGCCGGCCUGAGAGGGUGACCGGCCACAUUGGGACUGAGAUACGGCCCAGACUCCUACGGGAGGCAGCAGUGGGGAAUAUUGCACAAUGGGCGGAAGCCUGAUGCAGCAACGCCGCGUGCGGGAUGACGGCCUUCGGGUUGUAAACCGCUUUCGCCUGUGACGAAGCGUGAGUGACGGUAAUGGGUAAAGAAGCACCGGCUAACUACGUGCCAGCAGCCGCGGUGAUACGUAGGGUGCGAGCGUUGUCCGGAUUUAUUGGGCGUAAAGGGCUCGUAGGUGGUUGAUCGCGUCGGAAGUGUAAUCUUGGGGCUUAACCCUGAGCGUGCUUUCGAUACGGGUUGACUUGAGGAAGGUAGGGGAGAAUGGAAUUCCUGGUGGAGCGGUGGAAUGCGCAGAUAUCAGGAGGAACACCAGUGGCGAAGGCGGUUCUCUGGGCCUUUCCUGACGCUGAGGAGCGAAAGCGUGGGGAGCGAACAGGCUUAGAUACCCUGGUAGUCCACGCUGUAAACGGUGGGUACUAGGUGUGGGGUCCAUUCCACGGGUUUCCGUGCCGUAGCUAACGCUUUAAGUACCCCGCCUGGGGAGUACGGCCGCAAGGCUAAAACUCAAAGGAAUUGACGGGGCCCCGCACAAGCGCCGAAGCAUGC
rnacentral:rRNA from 1 species